GCCCCGGGGGUGAGUUCACACCAAAGUGCAAAUUUGGAGGCGUACCCUUAAGGGGUGCCCGGGGCU
rnacentral:tRNA from 1 species